UACGGAGGGGGCUAGCGUUGUUCGGAAUUACUGGGCGUAAAGCGCACGUAGGCGGCUUUGCAAGUCAGAGGUGAAAGCCCGGGGCUCAACCCCGGAAUUGCCUUUGAGACUGCAUCGCUAGAACGUCGGAGAGGUGAGUGGAAUUCCGAGUGUAGAGGUGAAAUUCGUAGAUAUUCGGAAGAACACCAGUGGCGAAGGCGACUCACUGGACGACUGUUGACGCUGAGGUGCGAAAGCGUGGGGAGCAAACAGG
rnacentral:rRNA from 1 species